rnacentral:rRNA from 1 species
GAAUCCGCUAAGGAGUGUGUAACAACUCACCUGCCGAAUGAACUAGCCCUGAAAAUGGAUGGCGCUGAAGCGGGUAGCCGACACUGCGCCGUUUGAGCAAGAUACGUUCAAAUGAGUAGGAGGAACGUGGCGGUUGUACAGAAGCAUAUCCGCAAGGAUGUGUGGAACGGCCGCUAGUGCAGAUCUUGGUGGUAGUAGCAAAUAUUCAAACGUGAUCCUUGAAGGGCCACGCGGGGAAGGGUUCCACGCGAACAUUGAUUGAGCGUGGGUGAGUCGUUCCUAAGCCGUCUGGUAAUAGCUAGGCAUCGGCGAAAGGGAAGCAGGUUGAUAUUCCUGCACGCAGAUUUGUAGAUGCGGUGACGCACGUCGGGCCAGAGAAGUUGUUGUAGAUUCGCUGGGCAGAGAUUUCUUUUCUGUUUGACGCCACUGUACACUGUGGAAUCCGCUUGUCGGGAGAAACAGGUACCACAAGGCAGGAGCGCCGGAAUUUUUCUGGCGUCCGGCUUGAGUCCAACAACCCUUGAAAAUCUGGUUGCUGGCCUAUGUAUUUUGGGCUUGCCCAAUCAAGAUAGGUGGAAAACUUCUACUCUGCAACGUACCCAUAUCCGCAUCAGGUCCCCAAGGUGAACAGCCUCUGUCCAAUAUGAAUAAUGCAGGUAAGGGAAGUCGGCA